GGGAACGUACCUUUUGGUUCGGAACAACACAGGGAAACUUGUGCUAAUACCGGAUAAGCCCUUACGGGGAAAGAUUUAUCGCCGAAAGAUCGGCCCGCGUCUGAUUAGCUAGUUGGUAGGGUAACGGCCUACCAAGGCGACGGUCAGUAGCUGGUCUGAGAGGAUGAUCAGCCACAUUGGGACUGAGACACGGCCCAAACUCCUACGGGAGGCAGCAGUGGGGAAUAUUGGACAAUGGGGGCAACCCUGAUCCAGCCAUGCCGCGUGAGUGAUGAUGGCCCUAGGGUUGUAAAGCUCUUUUGUGCGGGAAGAUAAUGACGGUACCGCAAGAAUAAGCCCCGGCUAACUUCGUGCCAGCAGCCGCGGUAAUACGAAGGGGGCUAGCGUUGCUCGGAAUCACUGGGCGUAAAGGGUGCGUAGGCGGGUUUUUAAGUCAGAGGUGAAAUCCUGGAGCUCAACUCCAGAACUGCCUUUGAUACUGGGAAUCUUGAGUAUGGAAGAGGUGAGUGGAACUGCGAGU
rnacentral:rRNA from 1 species